ensembl:snoRNA small nucleolar RNA SNORA55
GCACCUUACAGCAACCCUGUCAUUUCUGUUCAGUGUUUGAUACGGUUAAUGCUGGUGCCAUAGAGACUCAAUGUAAAUCCAGAUGGCCCUCCUCUUCCUGUGGAGCCCGUCUCUACAACUUUGAUACAAAA